rnacentral:rRNA from 1 species
CAAUAGCGUAUAUUAAAGUUGUUGCAGUUAAAAAGCUCGUAGUUGGAUUUCUGGUAGGAGCGACCGUGCCGAACUUGAUUGUUCGAGUAUUGUGUUGUCUUCAGCCAUCCUCGUGGAGAACUUUUCUAACAUUAACUUGUUGGGAUUGGGAUCCGCGUCGUUUACUGUGAAAAAAUUAGAGUGUUUAAAGCAGGCAUUAGCUUGAAUACAUUAGCAUGGAAUAAUAAGAUAGGACUUUGGUACUAUUUUGUUGGUUUGCAUACCAAAUUAAUGAUCAACAGGAACAGUUUGAGGAUAUUCGUAUGAACAUGUCAGAGGUGAAAUUCUUGGAUUUUGAUCAGACGAACUACUGCGAAAGCAUUUAUCAAGGAUGUUUUCAUUAA